rnacentral:rRNA from 1 species
GAUGAACGCUGGCGGCGUGCCUAAUACAUGCAAGUCGAGCGAACGGACGAGAAGCUUGCUUCUCUGAUGUUAGCGGCGGACGGGUGAGUAACACGUGGAUAACCUACCUAUAAGACUGGGAUAACUUCGGGAAACCGGAGCUAAUACCGGAUAAUAUUUUGAACCGCAUGGUUCAAAAGUGAAAGACGGUCUUGCUGUCACUUAUAGAUGGAUCCGCGCUGCAUUAGCUAGUUGGUAAGGUAACGGCUUACCAAGGCAACGAUGCAUAGCCGACCUGAGAGGUUGGUCGCCCACACGGGAACUGACACCGGGUCCGGACUCCGAGGGGAGGCAGAAGGAGGGAAUUUUCCGAAAGGGGCGAAGGCCGGACGGAGCAGCGCCGCGGGAGUGAGGAAGGUCUUCGGAUCGAAAAACUUUUUUAUAGGGAAAAAACAUAUGUGAAAGAAACUGGCCACAUUUGGACGGUACCUAACCAAAAAGCAACGCCAAACUCCGUG